rnacentral:rRNA from 1 species
UACGUAGGGGGCUAGCGUUGUCCGGAUUUAUUGGGCGUAAAGAGCUCGUAGGUGGUUCGGUAAGUCGGAUGUGAAAUCUCCAGGCUCAACCUGGAGGGGGUCAUUCGAUACUGCCGUGACUAGAGUUCGGUAGAGGAGUGUGGAAUUCCUGGUGGAGCGGUGAAAUGCGCAGAGAUCAGGAGGAACACCGUGGCGAAGGCGGCGACCUGGCGCGAAUAUGACGCUGAGGUGCGAAAGCGUGGGGAGCGAACAGG